AAUCAACGCUGGCGGCGUGCCUAACACAUGCAAGUCGAACGAGAAAGUGGAGCAAUCCAUGAGUAAAGUGGCGCACGGGUGAGUAACACGUGACUAACCUACCCUUGAGUGGGGGAUAACCUAGGGAAACCUGGGCUAAUACCGCAUAACACCUACGGGUCAAAGGAGCAAUUCGCUUUAGGAGGGGGUCGCGGCAGAUUAGUUAGUUGGCGGGGUAAGUGGCCCACCAAGACGAUGAUCNGUAUCCGGCCUGAGAGGGCGCACGGACACACUGGAACUGAAACACGGUCCAGACUCCUACGGGAGGCAGCAGUGGGGAAUUUUGCGCAAUGGGGGAACCCGUGACGCAGCAACGCCGCGUGGAGGAUGAAGACCCUUGGGUCGUAAACUCCUUUCGAUCGGGACGAUAAUGACGGUACCGGAAGAAG
rnacentral:rRNA from 1 species